UCCCAAGUAUGAGUGUCCUUCAGACAAGAAACAGAGCCCUACUCGUGAGGUGGUGACUCGAGGUGCUAAGGAGUCCGGUGAGAAGUGUGGCGGGCCCAGGUUGCUGCCACUGCUUUUUGGAUCACCUGGAGACACCCAGAAGGAGUUUCCGAGGCAGCCCUAAAGUGCCGAGAGUGCAUCCUUUUUGGUGAAGUUGCCAGGCAUGACUGUCCGUCACCCAGGAGACGAAGCCCCGCCAAUGAGGUGGUGAAUCGAGGUGCAGGGGAGUCUGACGAGAAAUGUGGUGGGCCCAGGUUGCUGCCAGUUCUUUUGGAAUCACCAAGCACAUGGUACGC
rnacentral:lncRNA from 1 species